rnacentral:rRNA from 1 species
AGGGUUUGAUCCUGGCUCAGAUUGAACGCUGGCGGCAGGCCUAACACAUGCAAGUCGAGCGGAUGAAGGGAGCUUGCUCCUGGAUUCAGCGGCGGACGGGUGAGUAAUGCCUAGGAAUCUGCCUGGUAGUGGGGGAUAACGUCCGGAAACGGGUGCUAAUACCGCAUACGUCCUGAGGGAGAAAGUGGGGGAUCUUCGGACCUCACGCUAUCAGAUGAGCCUAGGUCGGAUUAGCUAGUUGGUGGGGUAAAGGCCUACCAAGGCGACGAUCCGUAACUGGUCUGAGAGGAUGAUCAGUCACACUGGAACUGAGACACGGUCCAGACUCCUACGGGAGGCAGCAGUGGGGAAUAUUGGACAAUGGGCGAAA